GUACACAAGCACACACAUCACACAGAGAGGUACACAAGCACACACAUCACACAGAGAGGUACACAAGCACACACAUUACACAGAGAGGUACACAACUCCACAUUACACAGAGAGGUACACAAGCACACACAUUACACAGAGAGGUACACAACUCCACAUUACACAGAGAGGUACACAACUACACACAUUACACAGAGAGGUACACAAGCACACACAUUACACAGAGAGGGACACAAGCACACACAUUACACAGAGAGGUACACAACUACACACAUUACACAGAGAGGUACACAACUACACACAUUACACAGAGAGUUACACAACCAGACACACACAUUACACAGAGAGGUACACAAGCACACACAUUACACAGAGAGGUACACAAGCACACACAUUACACAAAGAUGUACACAACUACACAUACACACAUUACACAAAGAGGUACACAACUACACAUACACACAUUACACAAAGAGGUACACAACUACACAUACACAUUACACAGAGAGGUACACAACCAGACACACACAUUAGACAGGGAGGUACAUAACUACAGACACAUUACACAGAGACGUAAACAACUACACAGUUACACAACACUGCAGGUUGUUAUGCACAAAACAUUACACAAUGCACACUUUUACACCACACAAGGGAAUAAAAUGUGUUUGUGUUAGUAAGUCAUAAGCUUCAAAGGCUGCAAGCUGUCGGGUUUCCCUUCUAAAGGCAGCACAGUUUCAAACAGAAUGUCUUAACAAAC
ensembl:lncRNA